UACGUAGGGUGCGAGCGUUGUCCGGAAUUACUGGGCGUAAAGAGCUCGUAGGCGGUUUGUCGCGUCUGCUGUGAAAUCCCGAGGCUCAACCUCGGGCUUGCAGUGGGUACGGGCAGACUAGAGUGCGGUAGGGGAGACUGGAAUUCCUGGUGUAGCGGUGGAAUGCGCAGAUAUCAGGAGGAACACCGAUGGCGAAGGCAGGUCUCUGGGCCGCAACUGACGCUGAGGAGCGAAAGCAUGGGGAGCGAACAGG
rnacentral:rRNA from 1 species